rnacentral:rRNA from 1 species
AGAGUUUGAUCCUGGCUCAGAUUGAACGCUAGCGGGAUGCUUUACACAUGCAAGUCGAACGGCAGCGCGAGAGAGCUUGCUCUCUUGGCGGCGAGUGGCGGACGGGUGAGUAAUAUAUCGGAACGUGCCCAGUAGCGGGGGAUAACUACUCGAAAGAGUGGCUAAUACCGCAUACGCCCUUCGGGGGAAAGGGGGGGAUCGCAAGACCUCUCACUAUUGGAGCGGCCGAUAUCGGAUUAGCUAGUUGGUGGGGUAAAGGCUCACCAAGGCAACGAUCCGUAGCUGGUUUGAGAGGACGACCAGCCACACUGGGACUGAGACACGGCCCAGACUCCUACGGGAGGCAGCAGUGGGGAAUUUUGGACAAUGGGGGAAACCCUGAUCCAGCCAUCCCGCGUGUAUGAUGAAGGCCUUCGGGUUGUAAAGUACUUUUGGCAGAGAAGAAAAGGUACCUCCUAAUACGAGGUACUGCUGACGGUAUCUGCAGAAUAAGCACCGGCUAACUACGUGCCAGCAGCCGCGGUAAUACGUAGGGUGCAAGCGUUAAUCGGAAUUACUGGGCGUAAAGCGUGUGUAGGCGGUUCGGAAAGAAAGAUGUGAAAUCCCAGGGCUCAACCUUGGAACUGCAUUUUUAACUGCCGAGCUAGAGUAUGUCAGAGGGGGGUAGAAUUCCACGUGUAGCAGUGAAAUGCGUAGAUAUGUGGAGGAAUACCGAUGGCGAAGGCAGCCCCCUGGGAUAAUACUGACGCUCAGACACGAAAGCCUGGGGAGCAAACAGGAUUAGAUACCCUGGUAGUCCACGCCCUAAACGAUGUCAACUAGCUGUUGGGGCCGUUAGGCCUUAGUAGCGCAGCUAACGCGUGAAGUUGACCGCCUGGGGAGUACGGUCGCAAGAUUAAAACUCAAAGGAAUUGACGGGGACCCGCACAAGCGGUGGAUGAUGUGGAUUAAUUCGAUGCAACGCGAAAAACCUUACCUACCCUUGACAUGUCUGGAAAGCCGAAGAGAUUUGGCCGUGCUCGCAAGAGAACCGGAACACAGGUGCUGCAUGGCUGUCGUCAGCUCGUGUCGUGAGAUGUUGGGUUAAGUCCCGCAACGAGCGCAACCCUUGUCAUUAGUUGCUACGCAAGAGCACUCUAAUGAGACUGCCGGUGACAAACCGGAGGAAGGUGGGGAUGACGUCAAGUCCUCAUGGCCCUUAUGGGUAGGGCUUCACACGUCAUACAAUGGUCGGGACAGAGGGUCGCCAACCCGCGAGGGGGAGCCAAUCUCAGAAACCCGAUCGUAGUCCGGAUCGCAGUCUGCAACUCGACUGCGUGAAGUCGGAAUCGCUAGUAAUCGCGGAUCAGAAUGUCGCGGUGAAUACGUUCCCGGGUCUUGUACACACCGCCCGUCA